rnacentral:rRNA from 1 species
GACGAACGCUGGCGGCGUGCUUAAUACAUGCAAGUCGAACGGAGAGGCCCUGCACUUGUGCGAUGCUCGUGUGCCGAACAGGUGAGUAUCACGUGAGUAACCUGUCCCUUACUUUGGGGUAACUUCUUUGAACAGGGGUGAAUACACGGUAUGAGCUCUUUCAGCAUGGUUUGUGUUGGAAAGUGUCGGCGUUUGGGGAUGGACUCGCGGCUUAUCAUCGUGUUGGUGGGGUAGUGGCUUACCAAGGCUCUGACGGGUAGCCGGCCUGAGAGGGUGACCGGCCACAUUGGGACUGAGAUACGGCCAAGACUCAUACGGGAGGCAGCAGUGGGGAAUAUUGCACAAUGGGCGGAAGCCUGAUGCAGCAACGCCGCGUGCGGGAUGACGGCCUUCGGGUUGUAACGCGCUUUCGCCUGUGACGAAGCGUGAGUGACGGUAAUGGGUAAAGAAGCAACGGCUAACUACGUG